UUUUCGGGUGCAGUUUACGAUUGAAUCCGUUGAAUUAUGUCAACUAGUUUAGGUACCUACAGAUAGCCUAAGCCUUUGACUACUGGAAACUGCUUUUUUAAUUGGAGAAAUCACUGUUUUUUAUACAGUAAAAGCAAAUUUCCUUACCCUCCUCUCGUGAAAACAAUGAAAACAGGGUGUGUUUAGGUGCGCAAAUCUCAGAUAUUAUAAGAUUUUAGUGUUUAUAAAAAAUAUGUUCUUAUAAUUGAUAUACUCUAUUUUGCGAAACUUAUUUCUAUAGGUCCGAAAUCCUAUACAAAACUAAGAAAAUAAAUAAACUGUUCUCUUAAAAAAAAACACGAUUUUCGUGGUCUUCGUAAUUCUUUAGCGGCAAGUAAUAGGGUUCAUUUUUCAACUGUCUUAUCCCGUACUGUUACAAUGAAUUUUCAAAAAUCAAAUCAGUCUGCGCCACGGCGCCUUUGUGGGUGGACCUGUGUCGGUUUUUCUCCGCCGCUCAAAGUGAAAACAUCGCUGUACAGAUACGAAUAGUUAUUUCCUUGCUCUUGAGACUUAAAUCUUCAUUGAUUACGAAAAAUAUGGGACGGUAUAAGAAGUUUGGAGUAACUCGAAAAAUGAUUAAUGCAAAUAGACGUAAUGCGCAAAUACGUAGAACGGUCAUAAUCGCGAGUAACCAAAAAAACACCCAGUCUGAUGAAAUAGAUAUUCAGGAACAACUUCAUGAACAUAUUCUGAUGACUAAUAAUUAAAUGUCUCUGAUUAUUAUAUAUUUUUUUGUUUUAUCUCAUUCUCCCUAUUUGUAUUUGAGUCAUCUGUAGCUCUAUUUGCGAUUAGAUUUAGUGCUGGUUAUAGAUUAGAGUUAGUUAUAGCUGUAGUAAACUCUCCCUUUACUACCUAAAUAAUUUACCCAGAGGUAGAAACUUGUGCAACAUAAGUUACUCUUUCAUUUUUACCUACAUAUUUAAUUACCUACAUA